UGGGUAUCUCGCAUUUUCAACACUAAUGAAAGUAUUGGCUGUUAGAAGGAUUGUGAGUUUCAGUCAGCUUCCCACCAGCUCUGACACAUGCCUCGAGCAGCCUUAGCAGGAUCAGGUAUAGCUUGAGCAGCAGGUCAAGUGAUGUGGCAGAGGAAGGCAAGGGCUACCCAAUAUAAGAGCAAAAGGGAUACCAUCACAGCUGCUGGUCAUAGGCUUGUUUGGUUCAGUUUAUUGCCUAGAGAGCCCAAACUUCCACUCUGCUGAUGGUUUUCUGCCUUAUUUUACAAAAGGAAAAACUCCUGUGAGAACUACAAGAGGCAGACCAUCUCAUUAGAGCUGUAUGUCCGUGAUUUCCAAACAGUCCUUGCCAGGAUCCCUUACACCCUCCAAGGUACUUCACAACAGCUUACAUCGAUCACAACACGGCAAAUUCUGCCCUUUGCAGAGACAGACACCAUGGCUUCAAACAACACUUUAUAGAUAUACCCAAAGGGAGAAAACUGUUUUAAAAGGGAGAGAUGCAGUGCAAAUGACUGGAAGCCUUGUCCCAUAUCUGAGAAGUGUUUUCACUACAGAAUAGUUCCUGAAUGCUAGAGGCCUCUAAACUUUACAAUACCAAGAUGAUAAUCCAGAUUAUGUACAUUUAGCAUUAUGCAGUAAUUCCUAGCGGGGUCCUGCCACCGUGAUCUUUCAUCCACUCUGCAAUCACCAACCAAAACAUGGAUGCUGCCUGCAACAUGAAGCAAAGGGUGCUCUACUGUAUGCUAUCAUGGUGUAACAACACGUCUUCCCUUUUUUGUUACGAGCAGCGGUACUAAGUCAGAAAUGCUCAAUUCUUCUAAUGCUGAAACUCUUCUAAAUUCCUGGCCAAUCAGAAUUAUCUAGUUACACCUGCAUAAAAAUUUAAUCAGUGAAGCUGUACAGUUGAUCUGAUAUCAAGAUUUAGGCAGAGACAGGCCCUGCUCUUCAUCUGAGACACUUAAAUUGCACCAAUGUACAUGUAUUCUGCUUCUUCACCUUGUCCCUUCUACUCUGCCAGGAGCCCCAAAUCACUGUCCUGGCUGACAGCCUUGAAAGCCACCUGAAAUCUAUGAAGGCAAAUGGAGUGCUCUUGCUGACUUCCAUGAAAUUUAGAUCACUCACACAAUCUUCGGCUUAAAAGUCAGUGUAAUUUACACUACUAAUUGAACAAUUAGAAGUCCAUCCAUCUGAGCUCACAUUGAAAAAAGCAGUUUUUCUUCUCCAAGUUGAGUUAGCCUUAUCAGAUGUGGCUCCAUAAAGCUUCCCUAUAACCCUGAAAUCAAUUGUCAUAUGCUCUCUCCCAGCUUUUCCCACAUCUGCCUUUAGCAAUUUAAGUCUCAUUCCCUCUGUGAAACAGGCAAUAAAUCACAUCAACAGUAUUGAGUGAAAAAUAAA
rnacentral:lncRNA from 1 species